UAAUUACAAGUGUUCCUCCCUCUG
rnacentral:piRNA from 1 species